UACGUAGGGUGCGAGCGUUGUCCGGAAUUACUGGGCGUAAAGAGCUCGUAGGCGGCUUGUCGCGUCGGAUGUGAAAGCCCGGGGCUUAACCCCGGGUCUGCAUUCGAUACGGGCAGGCUAGAGUGUGGUAGGGGAGAUCGGAAUUCCUGGUGUAGCGGUGAAAUGCGCGGAUAUCAGGAGGAACACCGGUGGCGAAGGCGGAUCUCUGGGCCAUUACUGACGCUGAGGAGCGAAAGCGUGGGGAGCGAACAGG
rnacentral:rRNA from 1 species